rnacentral:rRNA from 1 species
CCUACGGGAGGCAGCAGUGGGGAAUAUUGGACAAUGGGCGAAAGCCUGAUCCAGCCAUGCCGCGUGUGUGAAGAAGGUCUUCGGAUUGUAAAGCACUUUAAGUUGGGAGGAAGGGCAGUAAGUUAAUACCUUGCUGUUUUGACGUUACCAACAGAAUAAGCACCGGCUAACUUCGUGCCAGCAGCCGCGGUA